rnacentral:misc_RNA from 1 species
CAGAGCAAUACCAAUAGAAUGAUUAUUAAUCACUUGGAGGCAAAAAAAAACCCUUGUACCCAAAUAUCUCUUGCCAUCAUGCAAUCAAACAACCUCUUCAUUUUUUUUAGUAUCUUUUCCAAAAUUUAAUAGCAAACAUGAUAAUGUGCUUGAAAGCUCACACAUGCAAUUGAAACAUUCUUAGUACUUCUUUACACAUUGUGAAAUUGGACGUUAGAUUUGCCACGUUUUCCGGUAAUCUGUAAUCAAAUUAAAUGUUACCCCCAAGAAAAAAAAAAUGAAAUAAAUAAAGAAGGGCAGAAAGUAAGGAGGAAGAAAAGCGAAGGCUGCUUCUCCCUUUCUUUCAGAAAACUAGCUUCCUUCGCAUCAAUGGGGCCUGAUUGCAUUUCCCAGUAAAGGCGGCGAGAUCUCGGAUGGUUUCGCCGAUCAAAUCCUUGAAAAUUUGCCUUUCAAUGUAUAAAACUGUUUCAGACAUCUCAAUUGGGCAGUAUCCCCAUCCACUGAUAGAGUCUCCUGCGAGGUCCUUCUUUAGCAGACCACAAAUCACCUCCAACAAAUCAUCCGAUGCAUCCCUCUCGCGAAUUCUUUGAAAUUCUGACCAAAUUUGUUGCAAUGAAGUUUCUCCACCGGCAGAAUUUGCACAACUAAUAGCCUUCCAGGGAGGCAAUUGCUUCUUCCGAUUGAGAAUUUCCACGACCGUGUCGAAAGUAAGCUUCCUUUGGAGUCUAGAGACUGCGGACGUGUCUUUUCCCUCUAAAUACUGUUGCUUUUCUAGCAACAGGAAGACAUCAGAAUCUUCAGGUAAAUAAUUGGAAGCCCUGAUAAUAUCAGAAAUGUAGAUGAAAUCACAGUCGUUUGAAUUUUCCUCUGAUUUUAACUUCACCUGUGAGAUCGCCGGGCUCCAAAUAUCAUCUUCAAAUUCGGCCAAAUGAUCUUUGAAAUCAAUGCUCCGUUUCAUGACAGGUGAAGGAGAAGAUUCCUCCUUGUAAAAUGACGAGUCAAGCACCGAUACUGGACUCGGUUGCAACUCAGUCGCUGUCAUUUCAGCUAUGCUAUGAAGCAGCUUAUCGCACCUCUCCAGCAGGCUCCUACCUUCCUUGUAUUCCUCCAUUUUCGACCUCUCUGUAUCAGUCUGAGAAGGCGUGCUGAUACUACUUUCAGAAAUGGAGGAUGAUUCAUCCUCUGCGGGAAUAAACACCUUCUCCUCCUUCUGGUAAAUCUCAACCGUUGGUUUCUUGUUUCUGGGUGAUCGGUUUGUGCUCGGAUCUGGUACGGUUCUCCUCGUACUAACUUUAGGAGACUGAACCGGAGACACUCUUCUUCGCUCAGUUGAAUUAUCACUU